GAUGAAGAACGUAGCGAAAUGCGAUACGUAAUGUGAAUUGCAGAAUUCAGUGAAUCAUCGAAUCUUUGAACGCAUAUUGCGCUCUCUGGUAUUCCGGAGAGCAUGCUUGUUUGAGUAUCAGUAAACACCUCAACUCCCUUUUCUUUUUUGAAAUUGGAGCUGGACUUGAGUGAUCCCAACGCUUUCUUCCAAGAAAGUGGCGGGUUGCUUGAAAUGCAGGUGCAGCUGAACUUUUCUCUGAGCUAUAAGCAUAUCUAUUUAGUCUGCCUAAAAAACAGAUUAUUACCUUUGCUGCAGCUAACAUAAAGGAGACUAGUUCUUGUGCUGACUGAUGCAGGAUUCACAGAGACAGCUUCGGCUGACUUUGUAAACUCGAUCUCAAAUCAAGUAAGACUACCCGCUGAACUUAAGCAUAUCAAUAAGCGGAAGA
rnacentral:misc_RNA from 1 species